AACCUGGUUGAUCUUGCCAGUAGUCAUAUGCUUGUCUCAAAGAUUAAGCCAUGCAAGUGAAAGUAUAUAUAUAUUUUAUAUGUAGAAACUGCGAACGGCUCAUUAAAACAGUUAUAGUCUACUUGACAUUUUUAUUAUAAGGAUAACUACGGAAAAGCUGUAGCUAAUACUUGCUUUAUUAUCCUUUGAUUUUUAUCUUUGGAUAAGUAUUUGUUAAGCCUUAUAAGAAAAAAGUUAUUAACUUAAGGAAUUAUAACAAAGAAGUAACACGUAAUAAAUUUAUUUUAUUUAGUGUGUAUCAAUCGAGUUUCUGACCUAUCAGCUUUUGAUGUUAGGGUAUUGGCCUAACAUGGCUAUGACGGGUAACGGGGAAUUAGAGUUCGAUUCCGGAGAGGGAGCCUGAGAAAUAGCUACCACAUCUAAGGAAGGCAGCAGGCGCGUAAAUUACCCAAUUCUAAAGAAGAGAGGUAGUGACAAGAAAUAACAAUGCAAGGCCAAUUUUUGGUUUUGUAAUUGGAAUGGUGGGAAUUUAAAACCUUCCCAGAGUAACAAUUGGAGGGCAAGUCUGGUGCCAGCAGCCGCGGUAAUUCCAGCUCCAAUAGCGUAUAUUAAAAUUGUUGCAGUUAAAACGCUCGUAGUUGAAUUUCAAAGAAUCGAUAUUUUAUUGCAACUAUUCUAGGGGAACUAUUUUAGCUUUUCGCUUUAAUACGCUUCCUCUAUUAUUAUGUUCUUUAAAUAACAAAGAUUCUUUUUAAAAUCCCCACUUUGCCUUUUGCUUUUUGGGGAUUUUGUUACUUUGAGUAAAUUAGAGUGUUCAAAGCAAACAGUUAAAGCAUUUACUGUGUUUGAAUACUAUAGCAUGGAAUAACAAAAUUGAACAAGCUAAAAUUUUUUGUUCUUUUUUCUUAUUUUGGCUUAGUUACGAUUAAUAGGAGUAGCUUGGGGACAUUCGUAUUCAGAUGUCAGAGGUGAAAUUCUUAGAUUUUCUGGAGACGAACAACUGCGAAAGCAUUUGUCUAAAAUACUUCCAUUAAUCAAGAACGAAAGUUAAGGGAGUGAAGACGAUCAGAUACCGUCGUAAUCUUAACCAUAAACUAUGCCGACUAGGUGUUGGAUGAAAGUGUUAAAAAUAAAAGUCAUCUUUCGAGGUGACUUUUAGAUUGCUUCCUUCAGUACCUUAUGAGAAAUCAAAGUCUUUGGGUUCUGGGGCGAGUAUUCGCGCAAGCGAGAAAGUUAAAAGAAUUGACGGAAGGGCACCACCAGGCGUGGAGCUUGCGGCUUAAUUUGACUCAACACGGGGAAACUCACUAGUUUAAGACAAGAGUAGGAUUGACAGAUUAAUAGCUCUUUCUUGAUUUCUUGGAUGGUGAUGCAUGGCCGUUUUUAGUUCGUGAAUAUGAUUUGUCUGGUUAAUUCCGAUAACGAACGAGAUCUUAACCUGCUAAUUAGCGG
rfam:Plasmodium falciparum FCH/4 unplaced genomic scaffold supercont2.41, whole genome shotgun sequence.